rnacentral:sRNA from 1 species
ACUGCCGCCGGACGGAACCGGUCACGAGGGUUGGGGAGCCCGCUGACUGACAGGUAUCCGAGUUUGGAACGGGUCUUAGGGAGCCCGGACUGGACGUUCUGGCGAAGGAG